rnacentral:rRNA from 1 species
AAGCGUGGGGAGCAAACGGGAUUAGAUACCCCGGUAGUCCACGCUGUAAACGAUGGAUGCUAGCUGUUACUCACAUCGACCUGAGUAGUAGCGAAGUUAACGCGUUAAGCAUCCCGCCUGGGGAGUACGGUCGCAAGAUUAAAACUCAAAGGAAUUGACGGGGACCCGCACAAGCGGUGGAGCGUGUUGUUUAAUUCGAUGGUAAGCGAAGAACCUUACCCAGACUUGACAUCCUUGGAAGGCUUCCGAAAGGAAACUGUGCCCUUGGGAACCAAGUGACAGGUGUUGCAUGGCCGUCGUCAGCUCGUGUCGUGAGAUGUAUGGUUAAGUCCAUUAACGAGCGCAACCCUUAUGUUUAGUUGGAUUUUUCUAAACAGACUGCCCUGGCAACAGGGAGGAAGGAGGGGAUGACGUCAGGUCAGUAUUGCCCUUACGUCUGGGGCUACAAACACGCUACAAUGGCCGGUACAAAGGGCAGCCAACCCGCGAGGGGGAGCAAAUCCCAUCAAAACCGGUCUCAGUUCGGAUUGCAGGCUGAAACUCGCCUGCAUGAAGCCGGAAUCGCUAGUAACGGUGAGUCAGCACAUUACCGUGAAUACGUUCCCGGGUCUUGUACACACCGCCCGUCAAACCAUGAAAGUGGCCAACACCCAAAGUCUGAGCUUUGCCUCGGCCUAAGGUGGGGGACAUGAUUGGGGUUAAGUCGUAACAAGGUAUCCGUACCGGAAGGUGCGGAUG